CUCAUCUUGACGCCUUAGCUUUUCCUUUCAUUUGGGACUUUUGCAUCGAUUUACAUUGCUUUUUAACUCAAACCAUCUUACUUGUUGUAUUUACUCUGUUCAACUGUCAAACUUGCAUCACUUCUCUUUCCUUGAAGUCCGAUGCACCACCCACCUCUCCCAUAGGUGGAAGCUUUGUCGAUGACUCGGCCAACUCCGACGCUUCACUCGAAUUGAGCCUCAUUGGUCCCAGC
rnacentral:lncRNA from 1 species